rnacentral:rRNA from 1 species
AACGUAGGUUCCGAGCGUUAUCCGGAUUUACUGGGCGUAAAGCGCGUUCAGGCGGUUUGGCAAGUCGGGCAUGAAAUCUCUCGGCUCAACCGGGAGAGGUUGUCCGAUACUGUUAGACUUGAGGGCAGUAGAGGGUGGUGGAAUUCCGGGUGUAGUGGUGGAAUGCGUAGAGAUCCGGAGGAAGACCGGUGGCGAAGGCGGUCUGCUGGGCAGUUUCUGACACUGAGGCGCGACAGCGUGGGGAGCAAACAGG